CCACUCGAACAUCAACAACACAACCAAACAAAGUUUUAUCAGAUUUAAAGACUUGACUGCAUAUGUUUGGAUGAUAAACUUUAUAGACACACGUGAGGAAAAUCUUUAGUUAUGUCUGGGCAAUGAGGAUGAGUAGGAAAGAGUUCAGCUUUACCUCAGAAAAGCAUUGGAACUUCGGCUGCAUCUAGAUUGACUGGAGGAUGAUAUUAUUCCCCACAAGUGCAAAGUACCUACAGAAAUGUUCUUCAACAAGAAAUAUAAUUUUAUCAGUUUAAGGUAACAUGUUUGGCGUUUUGGACUGGUGACGGUUGAGAGCAGCGUUACCCUGGCAACCGGAAACAAGUACUUAUCUGAAGAGGAAAGCAACUUCUCCUUCUGACAAAACUACGCCUGCACAUUUAAGAGAUGACAUUCUCAUUCAUGUUAUAAAGAGGCCAUUAAAAUGUUUUUUUAACAUAUCUUCAUUUAAAUGUUUUGUAAUGUUUUAAACACAUGUUCAGUAAAAUGAAUUAUUCCAUCUCUAAGUCUGUUAUUGAAUGUCUUUAAAAUAGUUAAGUAGGCAAAUAAGGAUAAGUUAAUUAAGUUGUACUGCAGAUGUCCGCCCAAAGAAUAUGAAAUAAGAUAUUAAAUAAGAUUUAAAUUUCAAACUGGUUCCUUACACAAAACUUUUAAUCCAUUACCUUGUCACAACAUGACCACAACAGGCAGAUUACGGAACAAAGUUACUUUGAGGCGACAAAUCCAAUCCAGGAAUUUCGACUCAACUUUUUGAGUUACGUCACCACGACGUAACUAGCGCACUCACCCACCAACCAGGAGCUGACACAAAUUCAACAUUACUAAAACGUGUGUUGUUGUUUGUGAGGGAAAUUUAAUCUUGUUCAGCUUCCCCAACAUCAUGGGAACAAUAGAUUUAGUUUGUUUAUCCGGGGUAGAAGCGGACUUGUGCGAGUGUGUUUGUUUAACAAUGGAUUUCAUUUAAAUAGACACAUAAACCCUGAAUGCUGUGUGUUUAACCAGCAAAAGAGAACACAAGCUUCUUUCCUGUUUUUAACACAUUUUUUUAUGGUGAUAGAUAUGUAAAAAUUAUCAAGCAAUGUUAAGAAAGUGAAGAAUGAUGUAACCAUAGUAAGCAUAGUUAGUUAGUUUUUUGUUUUAUAGU